AGAUUGGAGUUGAUACUGAGAUAGCUUGAAUUUUCAGGACAAAGUAUCAACAAGGAGGAAGGUAGACAAAAAAAUCCAGAAAUCUAUGUAGAGACCCCAUUGUGUACAUUGCGGAACACUAAGCCUAACAAUUCUCAAAAUUAGCGUGAGAUUGGGAAAUAUCUAAUUUCCAUCCAGCCACAGUGGAGAGUCCUGACUGAAAACCAGGCAUUCGCUAAAGAUCCCAGAAAGGUUGUGUGUUACAUACGUAGGGCUAAACUAUCCUGACUAAAAACUACACUACACUUGCUCCUCACCCCCACAAAAAGCUUAAAAACAAGCCUCAAUAGUAUAAAGCUGAUCUGUAAGUAACUAAACUACCUGCAGAACAAAGUCCAAAUUUAUUAGUUCCAGUACUCCAAAAAAAACACAUGUAAAAAAAAAAUAGAUUUACAAGACAUUUAUUUGGGGAAAAAAAGAAUGCCUGAGGGUUGAAAUGGAGAGGAAGCCAGAGAGACAGAGUCCUCAGAAUACAUAAAAUUUCUGGCCUCCAUGGAGGUGUGAUGGUUAAUUUUAUGCAUGUCAACUUCGCUGGGCCACAGGAUGCCCCAUAUAUGAUCGAACAUUAUUUCUGGUUGUGUUCAUGAAGCUUUUUCUGGAGGAAAUUCGCAUUUGAAUUGAUGGACUGAAUAAAGCAGAUUGCAGUCCCCAGUGUGGAUGGGCUUGAUCCAGUCUUCUAAGGACCCAAAUAAAAUAGGUGGAGGAAGCUUGAAUUUUCUGCCUGACUGUGGCGCUGGGACACCCAUCUUCUCCUGCCCUUGAACUGGGACUGACACCAUCAGUGCUCCUGGUUCUCAGACCUUCGGACAGCAGACUUGGGGCCUUCUCGGCCUCCAUUAUUGUCUGCUUUUAGAUAUUUAACGGGAGAGGAAAAGAGAAAAUAUGAUUAAAGCCUUUGAAAGUCCAUUUCCAAGAAAUAAAAACUGCAGUAGGAAUUCUACAAAACUGAAAAAUCUUCAGGACUGGAAGAUCUAUCCAGAAAAGCCCAGUGGAUUAUAAUAACUUAUUAAAAUAUUUGUUUGGCAAGCCACUGACUAAUACCACUUUAAGAUAUGAAUGCAUUACCAAAAAAAA
rnacentral:lncRNA from 1 species